GUAUAUGUUUUAUAGGCACAACAUUCUAUCGACAUACAUUGGGGUAAAUGAAACGACAUAGACCUGAAAAGGUCUACAAAAAGUGCACAGGUGGAGAUAUAAAGAUGACAAGGUGUGCACAUGCUCCCUAGAGAACCAGCAACAACCCAUCAGGUUUAUUUCAAUAAUGAUCCUUCCGCAGGUUCACCUACGGAAA
rnacentral:misc_RNA from 1 species